rnacentral:rRNA from 1 species
AUUGAACGCUGGCGGCAGGCCUAACACAUGCAAGUCGAGCGGAUGAAGGGAGCUUGCUCCUGGAUUCAGCGGCGGACGGGUGAGUAAUGCCUAGGAAUCUGCCUGGUAGUGGGGGAUAACGCCCGGAAACGGGCGCUAAUACCGCAUACGUCCUGAGGGAGAAAGUGGGGGAUCUUCGGACCUCACGCUAUCAGAUGAGCCUAGGUCGGAUUAGCUAGUUGGUGGGGUAAAGGCCUACCAAGGCGACGAUCCGUAACUGGUCUGAGAGGAUGAUCAGUCACACUGGAACUGAGACACGGUCCAGACUCCUACGGGAGGCAGCAGUGGGGAAUAUUGGACAAUGGGCGAAAGCCUGAUCCAGCCAUGCCGCGUGUGUGAAGAAGGUCUUCGGAUUGUAAAGCACUUUAAGUUGGGAGGAAGGGCAGUAAGUUAAUACCUUGCUGUUUUGACGUUACCAGCAGAAUAAGCACCGGCUAACUUCGUG